rnacentral:lncRNA from 1 species
UUUUAUGGCUUUGGGCACUGUCCUCCGGGUCCGUUGCGCGGAACCUAACCCCCAGGGGCAGUUCCUCGGACCCGCAGAGUGUGACUUCACUGGUCUGGCCAUGCUUGAAGUUCGCAGGCUGGAAAGCUGGAUGUUGAGAAGCAGUACCCGCACUCAGGCCGGCGGAAAGUCACGUGCUAGAGUUACCUCUCUCCAGGUGGUGUCGCUGUUGCCACACGCAGCGACGGCACAGGCACCAUUGUUAGAGGGCCUGGUGGGCAGAGUGGUCCAGCGGGCAUCACCCAGCACAUUGUCUCAGGUGAAGGAUGCGCCCUUCAGCCCUAUGAGGCUCUUGUCAUCGAAACCCGGAGACUCCACUUGUCCAAGUCCGGCGUCCUGCAUGAGAAGCCAUUUUUAGAGAAUCACUGGCAGCUCAGGGAUGUCAGAGCUUGGUCCCAAGCCACCAGCAUCCUUCCUCGGUAGACACAGUUGUUAGUGCUUGGAUUCAACCGCACUUACUCUAUCACUGUCCAAUUCAAGGUGGCUUAAUGCGAGUCUCCCGCCUUUAGAUCCCCAGCUCGACUCUAGGGGCAUUCAGUGCCUGGUCCUCAUUGCCCGGCCAAUGCAAAAUAUUUGGGAACUACUUCUUUAAUGAAUAAAAUUGAACAC